rnacentral:lncRNA from 1 species
AAAAUCACAAUUCUCCACGUGAGAAUCGAGCUCUUCCAAACGAAUGAACUCUUGACAACCUCGGUUAGAAUAAUCGCAAUUUAUCUUACGUUCAGAUAAAUAAUUGCUCAAGGCACGCGGUGCUUUACGAAGUGUUUCGACAGUCAAGUCCUCGUUACAUUCUGGGCAAGUAUGCGAGUUCACAGUUAAAUGUUCAGUGAUACAGCCACGACAAAAUAUGUGUUCAUUAUUUCUACACAUCAUUGGUUCCUUCAGAACAUUGUAGCAGAUAGAGCAAUGAAAGUGGGCAUCGACAGCUUUCUCAAAACGACUAUCUUCGUAGCCAUAUUUCUCUUCUGUUGGGCAACAAGCCAUUCUCGAGAAGACACAAAUCUAAGCCGUGUGUUUGCUUACAUAUCUUUUUAUUACAUAUCUUUUUAUUCUGUGUCCCUCAGCUAAUUUUCUUUAAUACCGACUUUACUCCUGAAAUCACUCACUGAACGUCGUCAAAUAAUUUGGAAGCGAGACAAAAAUCACAUAACUUACAUAACGGUGUCUUGCUG